AUUGAACGCUGGCGGCAGGCUUAACACAUGCAAGUCGAACGAGUGGCGGACGGGUGAGUAAUGCUUGGGAAUCUAGCUUAUGGAGGGGGAUAACUACUGGAAACGGUAGCUAAUACCGCAUACCAUCAGAUGUGCCCAGAUGGGAUUAGCUAGUGGGUGGGGUAACGGCAAACCUAGGCGCCGAUCCCUAGCUGGUCUGAGAGGAUGACCGGCCAAAUUGGAACUGAGACAGGGUCAGGCCUCCUACGGUAGGCAGCAGUGGGGAAUAUUGGACAAUGGGCGCAAGCCUGAGGCAGCCAUGCGGCGUGUGUGAAGAAGGCCUUCGGUUGGUAAAGCACUUUCAGCGGGGAGGCGUUACCCGAAGAAGAAGCACCGGCUAACUCCGUGCCAGCAGCCGCGGUAAUAC
rnacentral:rRNA from 1 species